UGGGGAAUAUUGCACAAUGGGCGCAAGCCUGAUGCAGCCAUGCCGCGUGUAUGAAGAAGGCCUUCGGGUUGUAAAGUACUUUCAGCGGGGAGGAAGGGAGUAUAGUUAAUACCUUUGCUCAUUGACGUUACCCGCAGAAGAAGCACCGGCUAACUCCGUGCCAGCAGCCGCGGUAAUACGGAGGGUGCAAGCGUUAAUCGGAAUUACUGGGCGUAAAGCGCACGCAGGCGGUUUGUUAAGUCAGAUGUGAAAUCCCCGGGCUCAACCUGGGAACUGCAUCUGAUACUGGCAAGCUUGAGUCUCGUAGAGGGGGGUAGAAUUCCAGGUGUAGCGGUGAAAUGCGUAGAGAUCUGGAGGAAUACCGGUGGCGAAGGCGGCCCCCUGGACGAAGACUGACGCUCAGGUGCGAAAGCGUGGGGAGCAAACAGG
rnacentral:rRNA from 1 species